GUGCUCGCUUUGGCAGCAUAUAUACUAACACUGGAAUGAUACAGAGAAGAUUAGCAUGGCCCCUGGGCAAGGAUGACACACAAAUUCAUGAAGCAUUCCAGAUUUUU
rnacentral:snRNA from 1 species